GUUGAUCUUUUAAUGAAUUUUAGUGUCAUGUUUAUUUGUUGUAUCUGAAACGUCGACUGUGAUAGCCAUUGUAUAUAUAUAUAUGAAUAUAUAUAUUAAAAAGGGCCAUAUUGAUGAAAGUGCUUGUUUGUGAUUCAGUAUGGUUCAGUAUUUUUAUUCUUUUUAUAUCAUAUUGAAUAUAAAUUAUUAACUAUGAAGUUCAUAUGCAUAAUUAUUUGAAGACUUUAUAUCAGUUUUCAAGUUUCAUCUUAUUUUGGAAAAAGACAGUCAUAAUUUUUUAAUAUUUCCAAAAACAAUUGUGAUUGGUUCAUGUAUAACUAAAGUGAAAACCCUUCGAUUAAAACUUUGUGUGCAUUUUUCAUUAAUUAAUGUUGAGGACAAUCCAAAUUUCUUGUAUUUUUCUCUCUGUUUACCAUCCAGUCUUGUACCACUGAAUACUGAUUGUGUUUGAAUCAACUCUGCUUCUCUGACAUUGUCAGUCUUUAUUUUUCUAUGAGAAAUAUGCAUGUCCUACAUGGCCUGCAGAGUUAUUCUUUUUGUUUACAAGGGCUUACCCUUACAACUCCCUGCUUAUCCGUGGGGCAUUUCUGUAAUUCUGAUAAAUGGUCUUUCAGAUUUGUUAAUAUUUAGUCACUUAUUCUUUUCAACAAAUUAAAAAAUUUAUAUCAAUGUU
rnacentral:sRNA from 1 species